UCGAGAAAAUUUUAAUAAUUUGUGUCUUGUUUGUUCUUCUUAAACCCUUGAGGAAAGGGAAUAGGAGGCAUGUAAGCUUUGCCUGGACUUGGUGCUUCGACAGCUGAUGUUUUAUUACUUCUCCAUUUUUAGUACCGAUUGGUGCAGAUUUUUCUACCAUUGUAGCUUCAGCAAUCACUUACUGGUCAUCUUUUCUUUUGGAUGUCUUUGUAGUAAUUUAUGACAAUUGUAUUUCACUCUUUGUAUUUAUGACAUGAAUAUUUUGCUCCAUCGAUUUCUUUCAAAGUCUUUGGAAAAAUGGAAGCGGGGGGUACAUAUGCUUUAACUUUCACGUGGGCCCUAGGUGGAUUGUUCUCCACUAUUUUAAUUACCAUCACCUGUUUCUCAGGAAUUAUCAUUGUACUAUCUGGCAAUGUCCCUUGUAGGCAUCUUGCAAGUUGUUGUACUAUCUGGCCAAUUUGUGUCUCCAAUUUCUUGAUAGAUGCUUGUUGAUUUUGAAAGUUUGUGUCAAUUUGCUGGAACACCUUGUUCGUCUUCUACACAUAUUGCUGAAACAUUCCUUCCAAACUUGGUUUUCUCUCUUGCUGGAAAUUGUUUUCGUAUGAGUUGAAAUUACAGGAGCCAUUUUAGAUAAAAUUUGCUUGUUUCUUGGAAGAAGCAAGCAUCAAGCAAUUUUCUGUAACGUGAUUUCUCCCACAAUUCUCACAAGCUGAACUGGCCAUCACUGUAUUUGGUUCACGUGUUCGCAAUUUUACAAGUAAUUUCACCUGCUUUAACAAAGCAGCAAUCUAUGCAUUUGUGGAAAUCGUGCUGUCUAAUUCAUACAUUCUAGCUACUUUUGGUGGUACUACUUUUUCUGGUGAGAACAUUGAAU
rnacentral:lncRNA from 1 species